rnacentral:lncRNA from 1 species
GCUCUACAGGGCCCUUCUCUGAAGAGGCCACUGGUAAUUGGUAAGGCAACUGGUAGGCUCUACUAUCUUCAUCCCGGUGGAGAUCUAUUCCCCACCACACGUUCUUCUCUAUCUUCUGUUGUUGCUACUACAUGUAAUGAGUCUGUUUUUUAUGUAGGUUCAAUUCCAUGUAAUAAGUCUGUUUCUGCACCUUUACAUCUUGAUGUUUCACCUAGUUAUAAUCAAACUUCACUUGUCAAUAAGAUGGAUCUACUUUGGCAUCAAAGAUUGGGUCACAUGCCUUUUCAUAAGAUGCAGUCUAUUUCUUUUCUAUCUAAUAAAGUCUCUGCCAAACAACCUUUUAUAUGUUCAAUUUGUCCAAUGGCUAGACAACAAAGACUCUAUUUUCAAUAUAGUACCAUUCAUUCUACCAAACCUUUCCAACUUGUUCACACUGACAUUUGGGGACCUUAUAACAGUAAAACUUACAAUGGUUUUAGGUAUUUUCUCACUUAAGUUGAUGAUUUAACUAGAGCCACUUGGACUCAUCUUCUUUCUUCCAAAAGUAAUGCUUUAUCAAUCCUUAAGGCUUUCACUUCUAUGGUGAAUGUGCACUUCAACUCUUCAAUGCACACUUUUAGAUCAGAUAAUGUUUUUGAACUUGGGAGUAGUUCUGAAUCCAUUAGUUUCUUUGCUUCUCAGGGCAUUUUACAUCAAACUUCCAUUCCCUAUACUGUACAACAAAAUGGUGUUGUGGAGAGAAAACACAAACAUCUUUUAAAAGUCUCAAGAGCCCUACUGUUUCAAUCCAAACUACCAUUGAAAUUUUGAGGGGAUAAAGGAAAAACCAACAAAACUCAGUCAAAAUAAACUGGUACCAAUUGCAAGAUCGAUAAACGGACAAGGAAACCGCCGUAAAAAUAAGAUAAGUCAGAUUCUAAUAGCUAUAUUGAAGAUACAUAAGAAAGGAAAAAAGGAAGGAUAUACUCUAUUGUUUAUUAAAAGAUAUCCUUCUAUCCACAUAGGCGAGAUUAACUAGUUCCAAUCAAGACUUCAUUUUUUUUUUCUUGGUUACGAUCAAAAUCAAGUUGGAUGUUUGACCAUGGUCUUUAUAGACUAGUUAGACUUUAUAGAAUUGUAUGCCAAUGCUGGUAUAAGAGUGGGAGUAAAUGUUUGAUGCUUCUUGGAGGUGCUUUGACGACACGAUGUAACUAGAUGAUUUUUCGAGUAAAUGGAUCAAAUCCAAAUGCAGUAGUUGCUGCACAGGGGUACCAACUCAAACACUUCCUAUCCACUUCAGGCUAUAGGACUUAAAACGGGCUUUACUUACAAUAUGAGCCUUUUGAAGUGCCAGUAGUCAUAGCAGUCUUAUAGGGCUUUCGUCAUUCCACUUGGAACAACUAUUGUCAGGGUAUCUACGACAAAGUUCGGUACAUGUUGGUCGCGGUAUCUUCGGUGAAGUUGGCACAUGUACUGACGUAUAUGCUCAUAGUAGACAUAGGACGAGUGCUCGUGGCGAACCACAAAAUUUUUCUAAAGGUGUUCAAAGUUUUAAUAUGUAUGUAUAAAAAGUAAUCUUUGACCUUAUAUUCAAUAUAUUUUUCUUCAUACCUAGUAUAAUUUUUCCGACAAAGUGAGUUCAACUGACCACCUCUUCCGCUAUAUGUGGCUACGCCACUAGAUGAGCCCAAAUAGCAAUUCUUUCUACGGGAUUACGAGUAUUUCAUAUUUAUCACAAACUAUCAAAAAAGUAAAAAAGUUAAUUAUACGAAAACAUUCUUUUCAAUCAAGAGGGGUUGCUCUGAUGGUAAGCAACCCCACUUCCAACCGAGAGGUUGUGAGUUCGAGUCUCCCCAAGAGCAAGAGCAAGGUGGAAAGCUCUUGGAGGGAAGUAUGUCGGAGGUCUAUUUGGAAACAGCCUUUCUCCCCCAGGGUAGGGUAGGGGUAAGGUCUGCGUACGCACUAUCCUUCUCAGACCUCACUAAAUGGGAUUAUACUGGGUUGUUGUUGUUGUAGUAUUCUUUUCAAUCAAAGUAUUCAUUCCUCAGAAGAAGAGGAAGAAACCUAUAGGACAAAGGCCCUUUCUUUCCAUCGUUCAGAGCAUUAAUAUUAAGCAUGAGCAACCAAAAAAAAUAUUUAAACAAAAUUGCUUGUGCUACAAAAUUAGGAGUAAAAAAAACACUGACUCAUAAAAUUAUUGAAAAUAACUACAUAAUCACAGAGUUUUUUUCUAAUUUAUCAAAUGACCAAUUGUACACUAAGGUACAAAGUCUCUACACAUGCAAACAAAGAGAAAAAGAAAAAGUAUAGUAACACAAUUAAAAUAUGCAUUUUUACCCAAAAUCACAAUAAGGGGAUAAAAAAUUAGGGCUUUUAGCAUAUAGGGGGAACUUUGGAGUGUAAGAGUAGAAACCAAGAGAAACAAAGUCAGAGACGAAGAAAGUUACCUAGGAAUAGAUUUCGCCGGAGAAAAGAGAGACGGAGAGAAGCAAGUUCGCCGCCGACGAAGAGUGUGGUAAAACGGCUACAGCUAUAUAUAUGGCGUCGUUUGAAAUUGGCGGGCCGAAAUCCAAAGGCACUGAGCCUAGGUACUGAGCCGAGCUUGUAUUUUAGCUCGGUGCAACCAUUUAAAGCGGUAUUUUACCUAUACAUCCCAUAUACCAAAUCUUAC